AUUGAACGCUGGCGGCAGGCUUAACACAUGCAAGUCGAGCGGAGCGAGGGUGCUUGCACCUUAGCUUAGCGGCGGACGGGUGAGUAAUGCUUAGGAAUCUGCCUAUUAGUGGGGGACAACAUUCCGAAAGGAAUGCUAAUACCGCAUACGCCCUACGGGGGAAAGCAGGGGAUCUUCGGACCUUGCGCUAAUAGAUGAGCCUAAGUCGGACUAGCUAGUUGGUGGGGUAAAGGCCUACCAAGGCGACGAUCUGUAGCGGGUCUGGGAGGAUGAUCCGCCACACUGGGACUGAGACACGGCCCAGACUCCUACGGGAGGCAGCAGUGGGGAAUAUUGGACAAUGGGCGGGAGCCUGAUCCAGUCAUGCCGCGUGUUUGAAGAAGGCCUUUUGGUUGUAAAGCACUUUAAGCGAGGAGGAGGCUACUUAGAUUAAUACUCUGGGAUAGUGGACGUUACUCGCAGAAUAAGCACCGGCUAACUCUGUGCCAGCAGCCGCCGCGGUAACAC
rnacentral:rRNA from 1 species